GUGGGGAAUCUUGCGCAAUGGGCGAAAGCCUGACGCAGCCAUGCCGCGUGAAUGAUGAAGGUCUUAGGAUUGUAAAAUUCUUUCACCGGGGACGAUAAUGACGGUACCCGGAGAAGAAGCCCCGGCUAACUUCGUGCCAGCAGCCGCGGUAAUACGAAGGGGGCUAGCGUUGCUCGGAAUUACUGGGCGUAAAGGGCGCGUAGGCGGAUCGUUAAGUCAGGGGUGAAAUCCCAGAGCUCAACUCUGGAACUUCCCUUGAUACUGGCGAUCUUGAGUGUGAGAGAGGUAUGUGGAACUCCGAGUGUAGAGGUGAAAUUCGUAGAUAUUCGGAAGAACACCAGUGGCGAAGGCGACAUACUGGCUCAUUACUGACGCUGAGGCGCGAAAGCGUGGGGAGCAAACAGGAUUAGAAACCCGGGUAGUCC
rnacentral:rRNA from 1 species